GUUGUUCGGAAUCACUGGGCAUAAAGGGCGCGUAGGCGGCUUAUCAAGUCAGGGGUGAAAUCCGGCAGCUCAACUGUCGAAGUGCCUUUGAUACUGAUGAGCUCGAGGGAGGUAGGGGUGUGCGGAACUUCCGGUGGAGCGGUGAAAUGCGUUGAUAUCGGAAGGAACGCCGGUGGCGAAAGCGGCGCACUGGACCUCUUCUGACGCUGAGGCGCGAAAGCCAGGGGAGCAAACGGG
rnacentral:rRNA from 1 species